ensembl:lncRNA
UUUUUUAAAUCGUGUGUGUGUGUGUGUGUGUGUGUGUGUGUGUGUUAAUCCCCGGGUUGACGGCUGCUUUUUGGUCUCUAAGCUGUUCUCAUCUCUACUAUCUCUGCUACAGUGAAGCUCACAGCCAACGAGAGAGAGGCAGAGAGUGUUUUCCCCUCUUCUCUUUCCCUCUCUGUCCUUUCCUCUAAUCCCCCCUCCCCAGUCUCUCUCCCUCCUCUCUAUUUUUCUCUCGGUGACAGGUCUCUCCCUCCUCUCUAUUUUUCUCUCGGUGACAGGUCUCUCCCUCCUCUCUAUUUUUCUCUAGGUGACAGGUCUCUCCCUCCUCUCUAUUUUUCUCUAGGUGACAGGUCUCUCCCUCCUCUCUAUUUUUCUCUAGGUGCCAGGUCUCUCUCUCCUUUUCUCUCGGUGACAGGUCUCUCCCUCCUCUCUCUUUUUAUCUUGGUGACAGGUCUCUCCCUCCUCUCUCUUUUUAUCUUGGUGACAGGUCUCUCCCUCCUCUCUCUUUUUCUCUAGGU